UACGGGGGGAGCAAGCGUUGUUCGGAUUUACUGGGCGUAAAGGGCGCGUAGGCGGCGCGACAAGUCACUUGUGAAAUCUCCGGGCUUAACUCGGAGCGGCCAAGUGAUACUGUCGUGCUAGAGUGCGGAAGGGGCAACUGGAAUUCUCGGUGUAGCGGUGGAAUGCGCAGAUAUCAGGAGGAACACCGGUGGCGAAGGCGGGUCUCUGGGCAGUAACUGACGCUGAGGAGCGAAAGCGUGGGUAGCGAACAGG
rnacentral:rRNA from 1 species